GACCGAAUGGCGUAGUGGUUAGUGACCCUGACUACUGAACCGAUGGUCCCGGGUUCGAUUCCCGGCUGGGGCA
rnacentral:tRNA from 1 species